UACGGAGGGGGCUAGCGUUGUUCGGAAUUACUGGGCGUAAAGCGCGCGUAGGCGGCUUUGUAAGUCAGAGGUGAAAGCCUGGAGCUCAACUCCAGAACUGCCUUUGAGACUGCAUCGCUAGAAUCAUGGAGAGGUUAGUGGAAUUCCGAGUGUAGAGGUGAAAUUCGUAGAUAUUCGCAAGAACACCAGUGGCGAAGGCGGCUCACUGGCCCGGUACUGACGCUGAGGUGCGAAAGCGUGGGGAGCAAACAG
rnacentral:rRNA from 1 species